UGAGAAAAGCAGAAGUGAGAACUUCUCGCCUUGCGACUUCGGUUGUCUGGCCCUACAUGUUAAAUUUCCUUUGGGGAGAUUAUGUGUGCGGGCCUGAAUUAUCAGGUUCGCAUUUGUUUUUCUCG
rnacentral:sRNA from 1 species